UCCUGCAGGGACAGAGGUGCCACCAACAGCAGUUUCCUUUCCCCAGCUGUGAUCACAACAAAGCCAACCCCGGGGCUGGAGCUGCUGCCCUGGCAGCCCCGGGGACAUGGGGGGACACAGACAGGGCACAGCACCCCCCAAAGCCAGGCAGGGGGGCACGGAGCCCCCCAGAGCCAGCAGUGCCAAUUAAGGCUGGAGCUCUUGGAAUCUUGGAGCUAUUUACAUCCUUGAUGGAAGUGCAAAUGCUUGAUGGCAAAAAAAAAAACAACCAACCCUUAAAUAUGGUAAUUAAGUAUGAAACUCCUCACAGCUGUUUACAAUUUAGGCUGUCACAUCUGAAUCAAGUUUAAUAGACCCAGCUACUGUCGAGAAUUACCCAGGAACUAAAAAUAUGGACUAAUUAUAUGCCUGUGACUGGGAGCUGUGGUGCACCCAGGGCCCCUGCCCUGGGGAGGGCUGCCUCCAGUCUGGGAGCAGGGAUCACCUCAGCAGCAGGAUGUUCCUGCAUUUUACAGAGCAGGAAAAAGGAAAUUAUUCCUAGUUUUUGCCACAAAAGCCUUUGGAGAACUUUAUUUGGAGGGGGAUGCACUGAGCUGAUGCAGCACUGAGAUAAUUCUUUUAGCAGCAGGAAGAUUUAAAUUUUAAUUUGCAGAGCCAGGCUUAUCUUGGCCGUGCAAGGAUGGGAGCACACGCUGAGCAAAGGAGAGACAACUUGUAGCUCCCAUUCUUCUCUCCAAGGGAAGAAAAGGAGCUGGGAGAGGCAGAGAAUAUUAACAGAGCUGGGGUGGCACGGGGAUGCUGCUGAGGACCAGGCUGGGAGCGGCCUCAGAGGGGUCUGGGACACCAGGGAAGGAUUUGGGGGGCACAGGGGUCUCCCCUGCCCUUCCUCUCCCCUAAAGGCCCCUCGUGGCACAGGGAGGGGGCUCAGUGCCAGCUCUGCUCCACCAGACACCCCAGGGCUCUCCUUGCCCCUCUCCUCUCUCUGUCCCAGCUCCCUUCCCAUGCUGGGGCACGGGGUGGGCAGGGAGAGGUGCCAGGAGGGUCAGAGCUCAGCCCAGAGCCCUUCCCACUGCCAGGCCCCUGCUCUGGGCCCCAGGGCAGGACACAGCCCCAGAGAUGUCACUAAAACUGUGCAGGGAGCUGGGGCUGGGUGCCCUGGGCACCUCCUGCCCAACCCUGCCUGCCCAAGGGGCUCAGGAGGUGCCCAGGAGAUGCCCAGGGCAGGGCUCAGGAGGUGCCCAGGAGAUGCCCAGGGGAUUCAGGAGGUGCCCACGGGAUUCAGGAGGUGCCCAGGGAGCUCAGGAGGUGCCCAGGGGCUCAGGAGAUGCCAGGGCAGGGCUCAGGAGGUGCCCAGGAGAUGCCCAGGGGCUCAGGAGGUGCCAGGGCAGGGCUGCAGCAGGGCAGGGCUCUCCAGGCCCUGGUGCAGGGUCACCCCAGCCUCACCCCAGAGAGGUUUCCAGCAGCCAAGGCACGGAGCCAGCCCCAUUCCAGCUGGGAUGAGCCGUGCCUGAGCCCUCCUCCCAGCCCUGCAGCCCCUCCUC